GACGAACGCUGGCGGCGUGCCUAAUACAUGCAAGUAGAACGCUGAAGGAGGAGCUUGCUUCUCUGGAUGAGUUGCGAACGGGUGAGUAACGCGUAGGUAACCUGCCUGGUAGCGGGGGAUAACUAUUGGAAACGAUAGCUAAUACCGCAUAAUAGUAGAUGUUGCAUGACAUUUGCUUAAAAGGUGCAAUUGCAUCACUACCAGAUGGACCUGCGUUGUAUUAGCUAGUUGGUGGGGUAACGGCUCACCAAGGCGACGAUACAUAGCCGACCUGAGAGGGUGAUCGGCCACACUGGGACUGAGACACGGCCCAGACUCCUACGGGAGGCAGCAGUAGGGAAUCUUCGGCAAUGGACGGAAGUCUGACCGAGCAACGCCGCGUGAGUGAAGAAGGUUUUCGGAUCGUAAAGCUCUGUUGUAAGAGAAGAACGAGUGUGAGAGUGGAAAGUUCACACUGUGACGGUAUCUUACCAGAAAGGGACGGCUAACUACGUGCCAGCAGCCGCGGUAAUACGUAGGUCCCGAGCGUUGCCCGGAUUUAUUGGGCGUAAAGCGAGCGCAGGCGGUUAGAUAAGUCUGAAGUUAAAGGCUGUGGCUUAACCAUAGUACGCUUUGGAAACUGUUUAACUUGAGUGCAAGAGGGGAGAGUGGAAUUCCAUGUGUAGCGGUGAAAUGCGUAGAUAUAUGGAGGAACACCGGUGGCGAAAGCGGCUCUCUGGCUUGUAACUGACGCUGAGGCUCGAAAGCGUGGGGAGCAAACAGG
rnacentral:rRNA from 1 species